rnacentral:rRNA from 1 species
UACAGAGGUCUCAAGCGUUGUUCGGAUUCAUUGGGCGUAAAGGGUGUGUAGGUGGCGCCGUAAGUCGGGUGUGAAAUUUCGGAGCUUAACUCCGAAACUGCAUUCGAUACUGCGGUGCUUGAGGACUGGAGAGGAGACUGGAAUUCACGGUGUAGCAGUGAAAUGCGUAGAUAUCGUGAGGAACACCAGAGGCGAAGGCGGCUACCUGGACAAUUGCUGACACUCAGGCACGAAAGCGUGGGGAGCAAAAGGG